GUUGGUGUGGUGAUAGAGGAAGUGACCGCUUCCGAUCGAUUUUUUGGAUUUUGUACGAAUUGCUUUGCUAAUAAGGCAAAGGAGACUACCCUUAAGGGGUUUCCAAGGUCUCCAUGAUCAUUCGCUUUUGGGACGUUGGUGGGCUUGGCAUCUGACAAACAUUCGGUAACCUGAAGUUUUCUUCAUCAAGACAAGAGACCAAUAUGGGAGCAAGUUGGGUCCCG
rnacentral:lncRNA from 1 species